UACGGGGGGGGCAAGCGUUGUUCGGAAUUACUGGGCGUAAAGGGUUCGUAGGUGGCCAACUAAGUCAGACGUGAAAUCCCUCAGCUUAACUGGGGAACUGCGUCUGAUACUGGUCUGGCUUGAGUGCAGGAGAGGAACGCGGAAUUCCGAGGUGUAGCGGUGAAAUGCGUAGAUAUCUGGAGGAACACCGGUGGCGAAGGCGGCGACCUGGGUGGAUACUGACGCUGAGGCGCGAAAGCGUGGGGAGCAAACAGG
rnacentral:rRNA from 1 species